GACGAACGCUGGCGGCGUGCUUAACACAUGCAAGUCGAACGGAGUGGCGAACGGGUGAGUAACACGUGGGUGACCUGCCCUGCACUUCGGGAUAAGCCUGGGAAACUGGGUCUAAUACCGGAUAGUUUGGGAUGGGCCCGCGGCCUAUCAGCUUGUUGGUGGGGUAAUGGCCUACCAAGGCGGCGACGGGUAGACGGCCUGUGAGGGUGUACGGCCAGAUUGGGACUGAGACACGGCUCAGAGUCAUACGGGAGGCAGCAGUGGGGAAGAUUGCACAAUGGGGGGAAGGCUGAUGCAGCGACGCGGCGGGGGGGAUGACGGCCUUCGGGUUGUAAACGCCUUACACCAUAGACGCGGAAGAGGGAGAAGAAGCAACGGCGAACUACGUGCCAACAGCCGCGGUAAUUC
rnacentral:rRNA from 1 species